UACGUAGGGUCCGAGCGUUAAUCGGAAUUACUGGGCGUAAAGCGCACGUAGGCGGCUUUGUAAGUUAGAGGUGAAAGCCCGGGGCUCAACUCCGGAAUUGCCUUUAAGACUGCAUCGCUCGAAUUGUGGAGAGGUAAGUGGAAUUCCGAGUGUAGAGGUGAAAUUCGUAGAUACUCGGAAGAACACCAGUGGCGAAGGCGACUUACUGGACACAUAUUGACGCUGAGGUGCGAAAGCGUGGGGAGCAAACAGG
rnacentral:rRNA from 1 species